ACUGUGCAAAGGUAGCAUAAUCAUUUGUCUCUUAAUUGGAGGCUGGUAUGAAUGAUUGGACGAGGUAGAGGCUGUCUCAUUAUUAUAAUUAUAAUAAUUUAGCUUUUUAGUUAAAAGGCUAAAAUUUUUUUGGAGGACGAGAAGACCCUAUAGAUCUUUAUAAUAUUUAAUUUACUUUUAUUAUGGUUAUAAAUUUUUUAGUAUAUUAUAAAUUAUUUUGUUGGGGUGACAUGAAAAUUUAUUUAACUUUUCAUUAAUUUAAACAUGAAUUAGUGAAUAUUUGAUCCAUUUUUAGUGAUUACAAGAAUAAGUUACCUUAGGGAUAA
rnacentral:rRNA from 1 species